rnacentral:rRNA from 1 species
CCUACGGGGUGCAGCAGUAGGGAAUCUUUCACAAUGGGCGAAAGCCUGAUGGAGCAACGCCGCGUGCAGGAUGAAGGCCUUCGGGUUGUAAACUGCUUUUAUAAGCGAGAAAUAUGAUGGUAACUUAUGAAUAAGGAUCGGCUAACUACGUGCCAGCAGCCGCGGUCAUACGUAGGAUCCGAGCAUUAUCCGGAGUGACUGGGUGUAAAGAGUUGCGUAGGUGGCAUAAUAAGUAGCUAGUGAAAUCUGGUGGCUCAACCAUUCAGACUAUUAGCUAAACUGUUAAGCUCGAGACCGUUAGGGGUAACUGGAAUUUCUAGUGUAGGAGUGAAAUCCGUAGAUAGUAGAAGGAACACCAAUAGCGUAGGCAGGUUGCUGGGACGGUUCUGACACUAAGGCACGAAAGCGUAGGGAGCAAACGGGAUUAGAUACCCCUGUAGUC